rnacentral:rRNA from 1 species
AUUGAACGCUGGCGGCAUGCCUUACACAUGCAAGUCGAACGGUAACAGGUCUUCGGAUGCUGACGAGUGGCGAACGGGUGAGUAAUGCAUCGGAACGUGCCCAGUUGUGGGGGAUAACUGCUCGAAAGAGCAGCUAAUACCGCAUACGACCUGAGGGUGAAAGCGGGGGAUCGCAAGACCUCGCGCAAUUGGAGCGGCCGAUGUCAGAUUAGGCAGUUGGUGGGGUAAAGGCCUACCAAGCCGACGAUCUGUAGUUGGUCUGAGAGGACGACCAGCCACACUGGGACUGAGACACGGCCCAGACUCCUACGGGAGGCAGCAGUGGGGAGUUUUGGACAAUGGGCGCAAGCCUGAUCCAGCAAUGCCGCGUGCAGGAAGAAGGCCUUCGGGUUGUAAACUGCUUUUGUCAGGGAAGAAAUCCUCUGGGUUAAUACCCCGGGGGGAUGACGGUACCUGAAGAAUAAGCACCGGCUAACUACGUGCCAGCCGCCGCGGUAAGAC